GUAAGGGAUAAUGGUAAAUUUAUAAGGAUAUAGAGUGUUGAUGUAUUUGUUUUCAAAAUUUAUGAGGAUAGAUGCGCUUAUAAACUACUUUAGAGGAUAAAAUAUGUAAUUAUACUCUUUUGUACAUGCAUUUGUGCAUUCUUGCCUGUAUGUAUAAAAAGAAUUGCUUUGACAGCUUUUUGUUCUUGUAGCCAUUGAUCUUGUUGAUGAGGCUGCGGCAAAGCUUAAAAUGGAGAUAACAUCAAAGCCUAUUGAGUUGGAUGAGGUAGACAGAGCAAUCUUGAAGUUGGAGAUGGAGAAACUCUCAUUGAAAAAGGACACCGAUAAGGCCGCCAAAGAACGCCUAAGCAAGAUAGAGGCCGAUCUAACAGCUCUCAAGCAAAAGCAGAGAGAGCUUUCUGAGCACUGGGAGUAUGAAAAAUCCCUGAUGACAAAAAUUAAAUCAAUCAAAGAGGAGGUAAAAACUUUUCCAGCUUUGAUAGAAGUGUUUUUUAUGGGAUUAAAUGCAACAAAUCAUUGAUCGAACUUGAGGACUUAAUUUACAAGUAAUCCAUUUACUAAUAUUUUCUGAACCUUUAUAAAUUCUCACUUUUUAGUCUACAUAUAUAUUCUAGAUCGAUCGAGUUAACGUGGAAAUGGAGGCUGCUGAACGAGCGUAUGAUUUGGAUCGGGCGGCUGAGCUCAAGUACGGAACGCUAAUGUCGUUGCGGAAGCAACUCGAAGAGGCUGAGAAGAAACUUGCAGAAUUCCAGCAAUCGGGCCGUUCAAUGCUCCGGGAAGAGGUCACCGACCUCGACAUUGCAGAAAUCGUUAGCAAGUGGACGGGCAUUCCCAUCUCAAGCCUUCAACAAUCUGAAAGGGACAAAUUGGUAAUGUUAGAAGACGUUCUUCAUAAGAGGGUAGUAGGUCAAGACAUCGCGGUUAAGUCUGUGGCCGAUGCCAUCCGCCGAUCUAGGGCCGGAUUAUCAGACCCGAACCGCCCGAUCGCGAGCUUCAUGUUCAUGGGCCCCACGGGGGUUGGGAAGACCGAGCUCGCAAAAACCCUAGCUGGAUAUCUUUUCAAUACCGAAAAUGCACUUGUUAGGAUUGAUAUGAGCGAAUACAUGGAAAAGCAUGCUGUUUCCCGAUUGGUUGGUGCGCCGCCCGGCUAUGUUGGUUAUGAGGAAGGGGGCCAAUUAACUGAAGCAGUUCGACGAAGGCCUUACUCUGUCGUUCUCUUUGAUGAAAUCGAGAAGGCUCAUCCUGAUGUGUUCAAUAUUCUUUUGCAACUGUUGGAUGAUGGAAGAAUAACUGAUUCUCAGGGAAGGACAGUUAGUUUUACUAACUGUGUUAUUAUAAUGACGUCGAAUGUUGGGUCGCACUUAAUUUUGGAGACUCUUCGGAAUACGGUGGAUACCAAGGAAGUUGUCUAUGAGAUAAUGAAGAAGCAGGUUGUCGACCUCGCUAGGCAAACUUUCCGACCAGAGUUCUUAAACAGAGUGGAUGAAUAUAUUGUUUUCCAGCCGCUCGACACUAAAGAAAUCAACCGUAUUGUGGAAAUACAGGUAUAUUCUUCACUUUCUUAUUUUUCCUAACAUAGUUUAAUAUUCAUAGAUAUAUAUUUUUUUGGCUCUUCUGAACAUAGAGUAAGCUGUCUGCUCGAAGUUUCAAAUUCCGUGAUAUUUUUACUGGAAAGCUAUAUUCGUUGUUCUGUUCAAAAAAAGCUUCUUUAUUGACCACAGGGUAAAUUACACUUUCUUUUUUGGUCCUCAAACUAUGAGGUGUGUGAUAUUUUAGUCCUCGAACUUUAAUUCGUUGCAACUUUUGGCUCGAAUUAUGAGACGCUUGACACUUUAGUCCUCAAACCUUAAUUAGUCGCAAUUUCAGCUCGAAAUAUGAGGCAUGUGGCAUUUUAGUCCUCAAACUUUCUAAAUUGUACUAAUAUCUUAGUUAAUGAUGCUACAAAAAUUAAGAUACUAUAUCACUUCGAUAUUAUUAAUUUAUCAGUGCGUAUUCAAGAAAAAUUUAGUUGUCACACUAGAUUGCAAUAAUUCAGAAAGUUCGAGGAUUAAAGUGUCGCAUCUUUUAUACAUCGAGCUAGAAAUUGCAACGAACCUCUAGUUUGAGGACCGAAAGUGUAAUUUACCCUUGAUCAUAAGAUCUUUUGUUCGAAAUCUACUUCAUUGACCGUAACAGCUGUAACAGCUGUUGCUCGUUGUAUUGUGUUUUCUUUUCGAGUUGGUGCAUAUUGCUAAAUAAACUAGUUCAGAGCUUUUGCUUUGGGAGGAAGCUAAAAUGAGCUUUGGGCGACUUAUCUGCUGUUUCUUCUUUGCUUUUCUUUCUAUCAAUUUCACCUCGUGAUCUUUUUUUUCCUUUGUUUUUUCCAUGUUACUAAUACUGAAAAAUAUGAACACCAUUUCUGCAGCUGGCUCGUGUGAAAGAGAGGAUGAAGCAAAAGAAGAUCAACCUCCAGUACACGCCAGAAGCAGUCGAGCUUCUAGGGCUUCUUGGGUUCGACCCGAACUUCGGGGCCCGACCUGUUAAGCGCGUGAUUCAACAGAUGGUCGAAAAUGUGAUGGCCCUCAACGUUCUCAAGGGAGAGUUCAAGGAGGACGACACGGUUAUUGUGGAUGCUCUCUCUCCUUCGGCGAAGGACCUUCCACCCCACAAGAGGCUUGUCAUUAAGAAGAUCGAAAGCGCUCCCGAGGCUUUGGUCGCCAAUGAUUAGAUAAAGAGUGUUUAUAACUCGUCUAAUGCGGAUAAACCUCGAAUAUAUCAUGAUUCGCACUUUGACCCCUCAUAAUAAUAAAAAAAAAUUUACAAACAAUCCCUAAAUUUAUAUAUUAUAUAUAUAGCACUUUACAAGGGCAAAGAGCAAAUUAUGAUGUUUCCGGGGUAGAAGCACCUUUUGUAAUUAUGAUGUUUUUUAUUUUUAUUUUUUACUCUAAUUAGAAUUUUGUGCUUUAAUGUAGAGAAGCAACUUCUGGGUCCCUGAAACUACUGAAAUUAAUAAAACCGCAUCAAGUUACUGAUAAGAAGCUAUGAUUUGAUAGAAAUUUAUAAUUGCGAACUUAAAUGGUUUGUGUAUUUUGAGGUGUGCCUUGUUUUGCUGAUCUUCUUCUGUUGAUGACCUGCAUUCAGGAAUUUAGGGCCUGUUUGUUUCGAGGGAAGCGGGUGGAAGUGGGACGGGAAAAGUGAUUUUCGGUAAAAAUUGAUCAUUUUUGCUGUUUGAUUCAUCGUAAUUUUAUUACGCCCGAAAGUCCAGUUCAUCUAAAAUAAUGAAUUUGACUUCGUCCUUCCAUGGGCGAAGUUAAUUCCGGUGAAAUGAAAAAAAUGCAAGAAUAGAUUAAUGUGUUAGGGUUAUCUCUUCUAAAAUAUGAUCAAAUUUGAUUAGGUAAGCUUUAAUAUAUUUUUUGUUUAAUUUGUAUAUUUAGAAAAUGAUGAAAAAUAAAUUUGUUAAAUGUUAAUAAUUUUUUAACUUUAGAAUUUUAUUUGUUGCAUUAUUAUAAUUUAUAUGCAAACAAAUAAUAUAAUUUUUUAAAAUUUAUUUUAUAAUUAUACAUAUAUAUAAUUAUAUACAUAUAUAAUUAUAUUAAUUUUUUAUUUAUUAUAAUUUAUUAUUCACUAUAAGUUACAAAAUACAAUAAUAUCGCUUUGGAAGUAAGUAUACCGGGGGUGAAGAGCUACACUUUUUAUAUCAUCUACUUUCUACCAAACAAACAACAUAACUCGCAGAAUUGCACUUUCACAGUUAGAAACAAACAGCAGAAGUGAACUAAUUUUCACCCCAACUCCACUUCAACUCAAAAUCCACUUCCACCCCAAAUCUACUUACGUUGAAACAAACAUGCCCAGUGGAUGGAAGCAACUCACAAUCAUUUUGUAGCAAAGUGUUUACGAUUCAAAAUUUUUUUAUAUUAUACCCGUUAAGUAUAAUAUAAUUUUAAAUUUUUAUAUAUUAUACCCGUUAAGUAUAAUAUAAUUUUAAAAUUUUAAUAUAAUACCCGUUAAGUAUAAUUUUAAUUAUUUUUAUUCUAACUAGCAAUUUACUGAUAUGCUAUUAUACCCGUUAAGUAUAAUAUAAUUUUAAAAAUUUUGUAGCUAUGAUUUGAUAGAAAUCUGAAUCUUUUCCAACUUUUAGAUUUAAAAUUUAAAAAUAUAAUUUUAAAUUUUUUAUAUAUUAUAAAAUGGAAAGCAGAUUGGGGUUAGGUCAGGUAUAAAAUAAUUUUGUUUAUCCAUAACUGAAACCAUACUCGUUUAAUCCAAGUCCGUUCGGGUUCGGAUUUGAACAAUAUCUUAAAUAUCCAAACCCGUUAAGUAUUUUAUUUUAAUUAAUUAAAUAAUUAAAUAUUAUUUGACAUUUGUUUAUUAAAUUGUGGUCGUGCCGGAGUGGUUAUCGGGUAUGACUAGAAAUCAUAUGGGCUUUGCUCGCGCAGGUUCGAAUCCUGCCGACCACGUUUUUAUUAUUUUUUAAUUUGAAAUUUUCUAUAAUUUAAAAUAUAAAUUUUAUUUAUGUUAUUUAUAUUUUCAUAAUUUAAAUAAUGUAUUUAUUUUAUAUUUUUUAUAUUUUUCAUUCAUAAUUUAAAUAAUAGUAUAUGUUGGAAAUAAUAAUCCAAACUUAAUUAAAAUAUAGUUAUAGAUAAGUUUAAAUCUUUUAUUUGAUAAUGGUUAGGAUUUGUAAUUAUCCCAAAUAAAAUUAGAUUUAUCAUCUGUUAUGAUUUAAUGGCUAUAUAUAUUUAGGUAUGGAUUAAUUAGAUGAAUAAGCCACAAUAGACAUGGCUGCAUAGGUGUUGCUCAGAAUGUAAUUAAUUAUUUUUUAUUAAUAAAGUAUUAGUUUAGGUAUCUUCUCUCUCCUCCAAUAUCUCUUCUCCAUAUUAUUUUGUUUUAUUUUAGAUCUUGGGUUAUAUAAUCGGUAUUAACACAAAUACCAGUUCUAACAAUUGGUAUCAGAGCAAAUUGCGCUUUCUAAUAAGUGGAUGAAGCUGUUUUUGAGAGAUUAUCGAAUGCCAAAACAGCCAAAGAGAGCCGGAAAGUACAAUCCGACUUAUAAACCAGCUGACAGCAUAUUUGAAAAGAAUAUAGAUCUAAUGUACCGGAUAGCUACGUCAAAGUCAAGCGACUUGUAGCUGAUCAACGAGGUGACGUUCAAGUGAAACCAAAGCGAAGGAAUUGCUUUGAAGAAAUUGGCUUCCGAACAACACACGACAGCAGGUGAUUGUGACGCUUGACGAAAAAAGAGCAAGGAGAGCCCGUGAAGAGAUCCAAGCAGACUUGACCAGAUAACCAGAAGGGCUAGGUAAGCAAGCCGAAGUAUAGAAAAUUCGGCGAAAUCUCGAUGAAUUAAGAAUGUCAUCCAAACAGAAAGGUACAAGCCCGAAACCUAAUUUUCGGAUUUUCAAAUUUCGUUAUGGAUUUAGAUGAUUGGUUUAUUCAACCUAAUUUACCAAAGUUCGAUGGAACGAACUUUAAACGGUGGAAAAUCAUUAUUCGAUAUUUUUUAGAAUCCCAAGAUUUGUGGGAUGUAGUGGAGAAUAUAAAUUAUGAAAAAGAAUUUGGUAAAGAAGAAUUUUGAAAAAGAGAUAGAGAAGCUCUAUCAUAUAUUCUUCAAACAGUGGAUCUAUCGUUGGUUGGAAAAAUUUCAACAAUAAAGACGGCACGAGAAGCGUGGAGAACGCUAUUGAAAAUUGGAGGAGAAGAUUUGCAGGAAGAGAAUGAAAUUCAAGAAGAAGAAGAAAUUCAACCCAAUAGUGAAGAUACUGAAGCCCCAAUUUGCAAAGAAAUUUGGAAAGAAAAGUCUAAUCAAAAUCAUGAAGAAUAUCAAGUUUGUGAAGAGUAUCUUGAUGAUCAAAACGGUGCAACUCAAAUCGAUGAGAAAGUUCACAAUGAUAAUAUGAUUUUUAUUGAUGAAAAAAUUAUGCAGCAAAGUAGGGAGGAAAUUUAUCAUUAUUUUGAUGUGAUCGAAGAUGCAAAUCACAAAUUAAACUUACGAAAGCAGAAAGCACGUGAAAAUUCACACGAUAAAAUCACGUUUCCAACAGUAUAAAUCUAAAUAACGGGUUUUGACCAACAUUUCCUUUUUUUAAUCUCAAUUUCCAUAUUUUUCAUAAGUUAAAUAUAUUUUCCACAAUUUUUAUAACUUUUUAUUUUAUUUCCAUUUUUCUUUCAUAGUUCAAAUAACUUUAUAAAUCGACAUAGUGGGAUUUCCCCAAAAUUUCUUAAUUUUAUUUCCAUACCUUUUCAUAAUUUAAACAACGUUUUCUAUUUUAAUGUCCCGCAUUUUUUAUAAUUUAAAUAUAAUAUAAAUAGAAAUAAUGGUUUUUCCCCAAAAUUUCUUUUUUUUUUACUUUAAUUUGCUUUCAGAUAAUGUUCAUCAAUUGGGCUUCUUUCACAUCUUUUACUACUUUUUCUUUUUUGGCAUUUUAAAAUUGGAUACUCACAUCAAAUUACAAUCAGGAGUAUUUUGUAUUUUAAUUUUUUUGGCUCCAUGGUAUUAUAAAAUUACUAAAUUUAUUUCAAAAAGAAUCAAAAUCAUAAUGCAUACUAUAACUUAUCACUUUAUUACUAUUCAAAAUGUUUAAAUUUACCUUUUAUUUCCCAAAAUAUCCUUCUAAACUCCAAAUUUCAUUGGUAAAUCCUAGAGGAUAAGGGUAUAUUUGAAAUAAUUUUUUAUAAAUAUAAAAGGUAUUUUGGUAGACCAGAAGUAAAUUAGAUGUUUUUCAAAUUUUAAAGAACAUAUUAAAUAUUAUUCCUAUAAGAAGAGUGUACAAUGGUUUUAGCAAGUUCAAAGAACCAAGUUUUGUGUUUGUUUACCAAGCCCUUCUUUGUUUUUUCUACUAUAUAUUGAAAUAUUUAGAACUUGAGUUUCUGUUAAAAUAUUAGAAAAGGAGACACAAAAAACAUUGCGAAGGCCCAUCACUUAAAGAGAUGCAUUGAUUUUUUUUUUUUUUCUUUCUUUCUUUGAUUUUAAAAGAUGGAGUGAUUGUUUAUGCGGCCCAUUAAACAGACUAUGUGUUUCAUUCAUUCAGCAAAUGAUAAAAAACUGAGGCAAUGAGUCGUGUAAGACAUAGGGGAAAAGGACAAAAAAAAUAAAAAAAUAGAAAAGAACAAUAAAAGAAAAGGAAAACGAGCGGAGGAAAAGAACGUCUCAAUUACCCAAACGUGUCAUUCAGUAUUACAGAAUUCAACCUACUCUCGCCCAAAAUUUUAGAUUUAUCUUACAAUGUUCCUAGCGCAAGUGAUAAAUGACUUAAUGAUUGAUAUUCGAGGUUUCAAGUUCGAAAUCUAAUAUCUUCACAUUAUCAGCUAAAUUUAUUUUUAGAAAAAAUGAUGAAACGGAUAACAUGCUGUCUUUCUCUCUUUCAAAAAAAAAAAAAAAAGAACUCAUGAAAUUAAAUACAUAACAAUCUUCAUCAACCCAUAUCAACACACAUUAUGUCUCACAACUGCAAUAACAAGCAUAUAAUAAUAUGUAUUGCUGGAGCAUAAGUUGAUAUUUUCUCUAUUUUCUUUCUCAUUUGAUUUCCGCAGUUGUACAAUUGCUCAUCAACUAGCUCUUCACUCGCACAAAAGCGAAAAUAACUCAACACCCCUCUCUUCUAUGACCUAAAAUAUUCCGAUAAUUUUUCGGAGGGUAUUCGAGUCAUCUGACUUUUCCUGUAAUCGAUCCACCGCCCGACGGUCGAUCGUAACAAAUUACAAAUUACAUAUUAUUAGGAGGGUUUAUUUGCAGAUGAGUGGCCAACAAUAUAUGAACCAAAACCCCAAACUGUGAUGACCAGAGACAAGAUCUUAAACCCACUCAUGGGAUCCUGAAACAACACCACUGCUGCAAUGCUGGUCAGUGGCACCCUGACUGCAUUCAGCACACCUGCAAAGACUGUAGAAGCCAAGAACAGCACCCCUGUGCCCCCCAGCACCCCCAGCUGAAAUGUAACUGCUGCCCAGAAAAGCACUUGCGCAUACGAACUCCCCCCGCGCGCAAACCUUUCCGCCUCCGACCGCAUCUCCGCGAAGCCCUUCUGCACGACAAGCCCCAAAGUUGUGAAUGCGAAAGCCGCAAACGAAACCAUGACCUGCUGCUCCAAUACCACAUGAAAAGACCUCCUCCCGAGCACUUUUAUAAAAACUAGCUCCGAUAGCGCGAAGAUCAGGCCGUGCAGGGCCGAGCCGAGGAUGUCCCACACGAACCCGAGAGUGUACUGCUUGUCGGUGAUCCCCUCGUAGCGGUCCGAUCUCGCAUCGAGGGCUAUGACGACCACGCCGGCGGUGAUGAUCACGAUCGCGUUUACGGAAGCGAGGUUGAUCCUGUUCUUGACAAUGAAGUACCCGAAGAGGGAGGAGAACACUAGCGACGAAGCCGCGAGGAGCGAAGCGGUGGACGCGGGGAGGUAAGCGUAAGCCCACGCGAACAUGAGAUUGUCGGCGGCGCUGAGGAAGCCGAGGAGGAUGUACCAAGCCAGCAGCUUAAGCGAAAGCGGAGUCGGCGAAAUUCGAUUCGCGAAAUAGGCGGGAAUCAAGAAGAGUGCAGUCAGCGGCCACCCUGCGACCGCAGCCCACGAAAUGAUCCAUUUGCUCUGCCCGCCGUCGGAGUAGUAGAGGCGAGACAGGAGGCUCGACGCGGGAAAUGCUGUCAGCAUUGCCGCGCUGCUGAGAACAAGGAGGAUGCGGUAGGAGACUGGUUUCCUCCGGAAUGUUUCCAACACCGAGGAAGUGAGUUCGGUUAUCUUUUCGCAUAGCGAGGAAGCAGCAGAAGCAGCAGAAGAAUCUGAGACAACGCCGGUGGAUCCUGAUUUAGAACAAUGCGCGGCAUAGUUUGAUCAUGGUAUUGCAUAUAAGGUACAAAUGAGUACGUCAUUUGUGCUUUAAAAAGUACGGAGGCUUCUGUAUUUCAAGUUGUUUUCGAUUGACGGAACAUCUGAUUUGACGCUCGACUUUUUUAAAUCUACACUAUUAGAACUACUUUUGAAAUUAAAUUUUAUAAUUUUUUAACAUCAUUUAUCGAGUGAUCAAAGAGUCUAAAAAAUGACUAUUUCAAUGGCUGAUACAACGGUGUAGAAUAAUACAAAUUAGGUGAAAUUUUACUUAAAAAAUUCUGCUUACGAUCAAGAGAAAGAUUGAUUCUUCCAAUUUGAAAUUAUCUUUUAUCACAAUUUUUAUAAUAUUUUUAUUUUUAAUCAUUCAUUUUGAAGCUACUUGUUCACUAGACAAACGAAGAUAAAAAAAUUAUGAAAUUUGAUUUUUAGAUAAUUCCAACACUAUAGAUUAUAUCUAAUAGAGCUGAUCGCCGAAUCGAAUGUUCUAUCAUCGAAAACAACUUGAAAGUACGAACGCCUUUAUUCUUUUAAAAGCAUAGUAGUUUAGCUCCGUAUAAAUAAUCAAUAAUUGUACCAUAAUUUGGGACAUCCAUAAUAAAUAUCAAAAACUCAAAAGAAAUAGUUGGAUUAUAUAGCAAGGAAAAAGAGAAUAGUGUCUAGAAGUUGCAAUAAUUGUUGUUUUAUUUUUUUUUUUUUUUGACAACCCGCACCGAAUCCGACUCGUUGACAUCCCUACUGUCUGGAUUGUUAGGCCCUUAAUUUUUUUUUUAAGUUUUUUGUUUUCCCUCCUCUGGGAAAGGUUUAAGAAGCAGUGUUCAUGUAAUAUGACAUGAGUGAGAGAACAGAGAUAAUAGAAAUAACAAAUGAUGGCAAAAUGACAAUUUUAUUUUUUUUUUAGAAAAAAACCAGUAAACUGACAGAUUAUUAAAAUUUAAAUAAAAAUUAUUUGAUACAUAAAAUUUGAAAAUUUGUGAGGGGACAAAUCCUUAAUUUCACUAGCACAUAAAUCAAGGUUUUGUGCUGUGAUACCAACAAUUCAUUACCAAAACCCAUCAAUUAGAUGAGCCCAAAUCAUCAAAACUACUCAUAAUAGAGAUCUAAAAGCAUGAGAGAGAGAGAGAGAGAGAGAGAGAGAGAGAGAAUGUAGUGAGAGAGAUUAUGGAACCUUGAGGUUGGAUUUGGUUGUGUGGUGCAUCUUCUUCUUUAUUAUCCAUUGAAGUGGUGUGAGGCACUUGAGGAGGAGGAAUGUGAAGCAAGGGAAAGGGGAGAAUAAAUAAUAAAUAAUAAAUAAUAAAUAAAAACAUAAUUUGUGCACCCUCAUCAAUGUGUAUGAGAACAUUUUUUUAGUUGAAAAAAGUGCAGAAACCCUUUCAGCUAUAGCCACACAACCCUAUAUUUUAUAUUUUGUUUUUUUAAAAUAUUAAAAAUAUUUUUAGAAAGUUAUGGUGUUAAUGAAGAAGACGAAAUGACCAAAUUACCUUACUUAUUUUAUUAGAAAAAAAUAUAUAUUUUUUUACUUUUAAAUAUUUUUUUGAUAUAAAUUAUAAUAAAUAGACGAAAUAAUGAUGAAACUUGAUGGAGAUAGACUGAAUAUAUAAUCUUAAAAUUUUAAGAGAAUAAAAUAUAUAUUUUUUAAAGUCAGAAAAAAAAAAUAAAAAAAGAAUAUUUACAUGAAGGCGUGUUGCAUUUUAGCCCUAUUUUUUGGACAAGACUAGUCAUACAAAAAUCCUUAACCAGAUCUAUAUCAUACGAGUAAUACUUUUAUACUUUCUAUUUUUGGAUAUCGUUUAUUUAUUCCUAUUUAACGAUUUAAAUUUAAUUUGUAUUUAAUAAUGAUCUAUAAUAAUAGGUCACAUUUAGAAAGUUAUAGGUAAUUGGGUACCCAAAAAAAAUAUUUUGAUCUUUUGAUUUGAGGUUAAUUAAAUAAUUUUGCCCCCAUUAUAUUAUCUAAUCUAUCAUCUCUCAUCUCUCUUUUUGUUUGUUUGUUUUUUUCUCCAUCCAAAUAUAAGAGAUUUUAUUUUUGGAUAGAUUACAAAUUUCCAAUAUUCCAAUUUAGUUAUGGCUUUCAAAGGUAAUUUUUUUUUCUCUUUAUUAAAUUAUUUAUAUAUUGCAAAUGACUAUGCUGGUUGAAAUUUAUCUCCAUACCUACUAUUUUCUAAUUUUUCUUAAAAAAACAAGGAAAAAAUUUAGAUUAUUUUUUUGAUUUAAUUUGCUAGUUAUUUUUGCUUCUAAUUCAAAGGUUGAGAAUUUUAAAAUUUUAUUAGAUAGUAGAUAUUUAUUUUUUAAAAUUUUACAAUUAAUAAUUUUUUAAAUUUGUGAUGGCUAAUGAAUCAGAAAAUAAUAUUCAAAAUUAUUCUUAAUCUUAUUCAGUUCGAAGGGUUGAACUAAGUCUCUUGAUAGACGUGGUUACAAUUCGACUAGUUGAACAAGUUGGUUCAAUCCGAUUUUUAAAUCAUUGAUGCUAACUUAAUUAAAAUAAAUAAUAACACUUAGAAAGGUAAUUGCAAACUAAAAGAUAAGGAAUUAAAAUUUUCAAAAUUGACUAAAAAAUGAAAAAUUUUAAAGGUAAAAAUCAAUCAAUUAGACUAAUCACAUUAAUAAAAUAUACAAAUAGUCUAGAUUUGUUCUAUAUAGAUUUAUUUAAUUUAUCUAUUGUCCUAAUUUUGUUUGUUCUAUUGAAACUCUAUGGUGAAAUUUAUUAUAAGCUUAAAAUUUAAAUUGUAUAAUCUAAAUUUAUUGAGUCAUAAGUUUAAAUUGUGUUAUACUAUUUAGACUUAGAGGAGGUUUCUAUAUAAAGCUUAGAUUCUAAACUUAAAAUUUAUUUUUAGUUUAUAUUUUAAAUUAUAAUACAUGACCUCAUUAAUUUUCAAAGAUUAAUUUUUACUAUUAAAUUUGAAUUAAUUUAACCCCUACAACUCUAUUCUGAGAAUAAGUUUGAAUUACACCCUAUAUCUAUUGAAUAAAAAAAUUAGCUAAAAAAGUUUUCUUUUGGGUGCAUUAAUUAUGACUAAUACUAUCAAAAUGGGUAAAUUGUAUAUAGGUCCCCACAAACAUAGUAAAUUACAAAUAUAUUCCUAUAAAGUUUAAUUUUCAUAAGUUAUUCUUUUAAAACUCCUAAUGUUUUUCAAAUAUAUCACUGCCGUUAGAAUCCAUUAGAAAAGCUUAGUUAAUCAUAGGUUAAAUACUUUACCCUAGUUAAUUUUUGACAUUUUUACUUCUCCUAUAUUAUACUGUUAUAACUUUUAGAGGAACAUAUUUGCGGUAGCAAAAUUGAAAAUAUAAACAAUUUUCUAAAUCUAACGGUAACAAACCAGAGGAACAUAUAUGAAAAUAUUAGAAGUUUUGUAGAAAAGUUGAACUUAUGAAAGUUGAACUUUACAGGAAUAUAUUUGCAAUUCACUAUGUUUACGGAAACCUUUAUGCAAUUAAUGCUAUCAAAAUCAAUAGCUGAUUGAACAAUUAUGUUCUAUUUAUAUAAUAUAUUGUAUUAUUUAUUUAUUAAUAAUUUCUUCCACAAAGCUUUUUUUUACAAAAUUUUAUAUUUGAUUCUACGCUCUUUCCAAAUUUUAGAUCUAUCUAAGAUAACGAUUAAGUUAAGAGACUAAUCGACGUAAUAUUUAAUAAAAGAGGUAAACAGGACAUGGGCGUUUUUUUAAGAAAGCGCUCCCCCUCUGAAAACUUUCUCAGCGAAACAGGCGCUUAAUCUAAAAAAAGAAAAAUUGGUGAAUAUUUGUACCAAAUUUUAUAUGUGAAUUAUAUAAUUGUUGGAGCUAAUUGAAAUAAUUGUGAAGCAUAGAAAAAUAAGUUACACAAUAUUUAACACAAGAAAGUAAAUAAUAUAGAGCCUAAAAUACACGAGGCUCAGCAAUAUUGUAAAAUUAUAAUUUAGCCAAAAAAANAAUGUUGUUAGAACUUCUUUUUUUUUUUUGAGAAAUAGAUAACAUGCUACCCGUUUCGUUUAUUUCAUUUAGAAAUAAACUUGGCUAGAAAUAUGAAUCAACUAGGAUUCGAACUUAGGUCUCGAAUAUCAACCACCUAGUCCUUUGCCACUUGCUCUAGAGACGGUGAGUAAUGUUGUUAGAUGUUAGUACAUCUCAAAUAGGGCGUAUUUCAUAUACCCUACUCAAUCAAUAAUUGGCGUGAAGUGGGCUCAUUUUUUAAAACCGGAACCUCAAUCCCAUGAAUUUUGAAAAUUUAUAUUCAAAAUAAAAUCUGAUCAAAAAUUCAAAAUCCGAACCCAAAAUAUUUUUUUUUACUAUAUUUCAAAACAUAUUAUAUUAAAAAUCUAAAAUUUGAAAAUACAACACCAAAUAUAACAUUAAAUAUUUAUAUAUAUAUUAUAUAAUAUAAAAUUAAUACAGGCUCAAUACUGGUUGGAUAAAGACAAAAUUUAUGUCCGAAUUCAAAUCCGUCAAUUUUUUGUUUUUUAUACUCUUAUUCAAAAUUAUAUCUGUUUAGUAUCAAAUAAAUUUGUUCUAUUUUGAAUUGAGAAUAAAAUUGAAAUAUCCUUAGCCAUUGACAUCCCUAAAAGUUGAUGGGGUUGUUUGAAAUAACAGAUUCUUCUCUAUCCCUUCUUCAAAUAGUGGGACCAAACUAAAUUCAAAAUGAAGGGCAAUUUAGUAAUUUCACAACCCCCCCCCCCUUCAAUCUUGUCCACUGCUGCUGCCAUGUGUGUGCCAUUAUUAUCACUGCAAGCACCUCCACACUCCCCACAUGCCACAAACAAAUCAUCAAUCCAACCAAACCAACAUUGAUUAAAAUAGCAAAAAAAAAAAAAAAAAAACACUCCAACAAUGGCGGCGCCGUCUCCUCUACAUCUCCAAAACCGUCCUCUCCAUGUCAAUCUCGUCCUCCUGCUGCUCGCCUUCUCCGCCGUCGCCGUCGUUGUCACUGCCACAGACCAUAUCGUCGGCGCCAAUCGCGGGUGGAACCCCAACAUCAACUACUCCCUCUGGUCCAACAACCAGACCUUCUUCGUCGGCGACCUCAUCUGUAAGCUUAUUCAUCUUUUGGAUAACAUAGUAUCAGAGCCAGAGCCAAAGCUAGAUCCAGUCCUAAGACAAGACUCCUGUUUCAAAAAGUCUCGAGUUCAAAUCGCGAUUUCAUUCAUUACUUGUGAAAAGAAACUUAAAUUUGAAAUGUAGAUCAAUUAGGCUUCAAAUUUGGAGGCUUCGUUCACUUAAAUGUUUGGGAUGGUCUUAUAUUUCAUCUUAUCUUCGUUAUGCACGCCGGUGGAACUAAGGAACCAAGGCUUGGUAGUGUCGAUUGGGUUCUAGUACGACGAUACAGUCCCGUUAAUUAUUCAUCAUGUGAAUCACACGAAUUUUAGAGCCUGUGAAUUGAAAAAAAAAAAAAAAAUAUAAUGAAUUUGUUUUGGCAUUAUCGAAUAUCUUUUUCUUUUUCAGUAAUAUGUCGUUGAACCAUCGGCACUCAGCACAAGUGAUUAAGAAUCUAAUGAUUAAUAUUUGAAAUUAUAAAUUUGAAUAAUAGCGUAUAAUUACUCUUGUCAAAUCAAUCUUAUCGUCGUGAUUAUUUCUGAAUAGUUUUUAACAGAUCAAUCAAUCAUUAUCUUUGUAAGAUCAAUCAAUCAUUAUUUUUACUCGCCGCAGCGUUCAGGUACCAAAAGAACACGUACAACGUGUUUGAGGUGAACAGGACUGGGUACGAGAACUGCACAAUGGACGGGUUGACGGGGAAUUGGAGCUCCGGGAAGGAUUUCAUCCCCCUGGGGGCUGCCAAAACCUACUACUUCAUCUGCGGCAACGGCUUUUGCUUAAACGGCAUGCGCGUUGCCGUCACCGUCCGCCCACUCGCCGCCAACGCCUCCGCCUCCGCCGCCCCCCGCCAUGGCGUAGGAGCAGCAGACAAUUCGGCAGCGGACGGGGUUAGGGUUAGGAUUUGGGAAGUGGUCGCCGCAGCGGCGGCGAUAGUGGUUUUUUAUCUUUCUGGAUAAAAUUUUAAUUUGCUAUUAUGUGAUUUGGCUCAUUUUUUAUUUUGUUAUUAUGUGAUUCAAAAUGUUAUACGUAACUAUCUUAUGAUUUUAUCUCUAUUUUUAUUUUAAAAAAUUUAUUAUCAAAUAGGGCAACAAAGCACUCUUUUUUGAUAAAUACAGAAUAGUUAAUUGUAAUUUUUGAAGUGAAAAUAAACUAAACCUCAAUAGGGCAAAUUAAAGUUUACCACUUUGUCUUUUUAAUUUUUUUAUAUGAUUUAUUCUAUUUUCAUAUUUUUGGUUAAAAUAUACAAACACUCACAAAAUUUCAACUCGUUUUGAAAUUGACCCUCUUAAUUUUAUUUUAUUUAAUUUUGCUCCUUUCUUUAGUAAUUUUGAAAAUUCCAUCAGAAUCAUUUAGAAUCAAACGCUAACGAAAGAUGCACGCUACCUCCUUUUUAAUUAAAAUAAUUCUCAAGAUCGCAUGCGUCUUUCGUAGGUGUUCAUUUUGGUUCUAUCAAAAUUUUUAAAAUUGCUAACAGAAGAAGAUAAAUUAAACGAUUAGUAAACAUAGAAAAUGUAAAUCAAAUAAAAAAGUUUAGAAGGUCAAAUUAAAGUUUAAAAGUGUUUAUACUUUUUUUUCUUUUGUGUUGAUUUGUGUCCGAGCCUUGUAUCUUUGUUUUUGGUAGAGAUGUUUAGUCCUUGAAUUUGAAUUAUAACAAUCUUUAUUAGGCUAAAUUACAGAAAAUUUUCCUGUCAAAGCGUGAUUUUUUACUUUUCUUCCUUGUCAUUUAAAAACCUACACUUUGCCCCCUUAUAAAAUAAAAUAUGUGCACUUCGCCCUCUACCGUUAGUGAUCCGUUAGGGUUCCGUUAUAACAUAUUUUUUUAGUUACCCACUUUUCCAUCCACUCCCACCUUGAUUUCCACCCUACUAUCGCCGAAAUCGAGGGGCGGCGAGGGUGCAGGAGGAAGAUGAGGCAUGAACCGCGGCCGAUCGAGGCUGCUGUUGAGGAAUAUGAGGGAGAAGAUGAAAAUGACGAGGGACAAAAUGGUCAUUAUAUCAUCACAGUAGACACCGUAACCCCUGUAAAUAUUUUUCAUUUUACAAGUGGGUAAAGUAUAAAUUUUUAAAUGACGGGGGAAAAGUAAAAAAUUAAAUUUUGACAGAAAAUUUUAUGUAAUUUAGCAUUUUUAUUAAAAAUUUUACAUUAUUAUAAUUACGGCUGUAAUUACUGAAUUAAAUAUUUUUAUUCUUUAAAAUAUUUCUGAAUAUGAGAUUAUAUUAGCUCCCACUUAUUUUAGAAGUUAUAUCGAUAUUAAGAAUAAACUACUAAUUCAUUUUCGAACCAAAAUAUACAUAAAAAUUUAUGGCUAAAUUACAGAAAACCUUCCUGUCAAAACUCGAUUUUUCACUUUCCCCCCUUGUCAUUUAAAAACCUACACUUUACCCCCUUAUAAAAUGAAAAACGUGCACUUCACCCCCUACUGUUAGGAUUCCAUUAUAAAAUAUUUUUUAUGCAAAAAAUAGCCCUCUGCCCUCUUUGUUGUUGCUUCGCCUCUCUUCGGCUCGCCGCCUCGCCCUCCUCCACUGUCUCACACUAGCCCACAUCGCCUUCGCCCUCCUCCGCCACAUCGCCUUCGCCCUCGUUGCCCUUACCUACCUCUCCAUCAACGCCCACCUCGAUUUCCUUCCUAUUGUCACCGAAAUCGAGAGACGGCGAGGGUGCAGGAGGAGAAGGGGAGCAGGUGGAGAAGAAAAUAGAGAGAUCGCGGUCGAUCGAGGCGACGGUUGAGGAAGAUGAUGGAGGAGACGAAAAUGACGAGAGAUAAAAUAGUCAUUUUACACACCGUACCUCACCUGUGAACAUUUUUUAUUUUUCAUUUUACAUUUUACAAGGGGCAAAGUGUAAGUUUUUAAAUGACAGGGAGAAAAUGAAAAAUCGAAUUUUGACAGAAAAAUUUUAUAUAAUUUAGCCAAAAUUUAUUGAUUUUUAUUUAUUAUGUAAAUGGGUGUAUAAUAUUGUUGUGG
rnacentral:lncRNA from 1 species